CUCGGUCCCCUCGGCUCCGGGGGCGCCCGGCUGGGCCCAGCUCCGCGGGCGCGCCCCCGUCACCCCCUCCCAGGCCAGUUCAGGGCAGCGCCAAGGGGCCGCGGGCUCAGGCUGAGGCCUCCUCCUGCCUAGGCGUCUGGCGUCCGUUUGUCUGUCCGAGGCCUCAGCGCAGGUAAAGCGCGGGGCUGGGGGGCGCAGAGCUCCAUUGGGCUGGGAACCAGCGCGUCUCGUGCCCUUGGGGGACCCGCCUGCCCGAGCCGCCUGCUAAGCCUCCCGCUCCCCUCCACGCUGGAGCGCGCGGAGCCCGGUCUGCUCGGAACUCCACUCUGCGGGAGCGGAGGCCGGCGCCAGCCCGGGAAGCCGCGCAGGGGGCGGGAGGCCGAGCGCGAGGCCCUUGGCGCCGGGCCUCCGCGGCCAGGCCGGGCAGCUUACGAUUCUUCAUCAACUCGUAAAAUGAGAUCGCCGCGGAGCUCGAGCCUAUUUGGCGUCUCCGGAGACUAGCAAGACCCUCUGAAAGACACCGCGUCCCCAGGGAUAAUCCCCCGUGUCCGGCAAAGCUGCCCCGCUCGAGCGCGAACCCUGGGACCCAGCGCGGGAGGCAGACCAGCAGCUGGCCGCUGGGCUGUGAACGCCAGGACCGAGCGGAAGCUUCCCGCCCGGCCGCGAUCGGUGCCGCGGCUCUCAGGGAAGUGGCUACGCGCGUCCCUCGGGAAAGCAGGUAAUUCGCCUUUUUCUCCCACCGGCGCGGUAAAAAUUACCCUCCCCCUCCCCGUUCCGUGUGUAUUCCCAGUUUCAGCGCAGCGAGCUCGGCGUCUAACCCCUCCGCGGCAGGGUCCCGGCCACUGCGGUAGUGGAGGUGGCCAGCCUGGCUGAGUCCCCUGCCCAAACGUCAGCCCUGUGCUGCCGCCUGCCUGACGCAGAGCGGAGCGAGGGAGGGGAUUUAAUUACCCCGCUCGGCAGCUCAGAAAAUCGCCGCACAGAGGGGCUUAGCAGGACGGUUAAGGAGUGCUUGAGCAGGGGCCUCGGGAGACCCGAACCAGCCUCCUUGCCCGCAAUCCGGUGUAGAGGAAAAAAAGGAAACAGGAGUUCUGCCAGGUCCUUUCAGGCCUUGGGGUUGCCUUCCUCGACAACGCAGGCAGGAGCCGGCUUGACCGAAGCCUCCACCUCGGUUGCAGGUCCUGCGUAGGAUGCGGGACUGCUGCAUUCUCUGGCGGAAACGAACCCGCCUGGGAGAGAGAAAUGCGACGCCAAGUAGCAGGGCGCCCAGCUGGCCAAUAAAGAGGGACCCGCGCUCGACAAUGUCUGUGUGUGCCAGGCAGACCGAGGGACACCAACCGGGCCCCUCCCCAUUAGGCCGAAGACAUGGUCCUCCCACCUUGGGCCCCAAACAAACUCCCGGGGAGGGUCAACGCAGCCCCCAGAAUCUGCUGGGGUCUUGAGGCGCUGUUCCAGGCCUGGUGAGAGCAGAUUUACUCCAAUUUAUGGGCUGGAACUUUGGGGUCCCCAAAACACCUUUAGAGGGACGCGUUCCCUUUUUCAGUACUUUGUUCGUUCGGGAGUAUAGUUGGAAAUGCUGGCGCUGCCUUUGAUCACAUUAAGAAGCUGUCACUUUCCU
rnacentral:lncRNA from 1 species